rnacentral:rRNA from 1 species
UACGGAAGGCAGCAGUGGGGAAUAUUGCACAAUGGGCGCAAGCCUGAUGCAGCCAUGCCGCGUGUAUGAAGAAGGCCCUUCGGGUUGUAAAGUACUUUCAGUCGUGAGGAAGGUGUUAAGGUUAAUAACCUUAGCAAUUGACGUUAGCGACAGAAGAAGCACCGGCUAACUCCGUGCCAGCAGCCGCGGUAAUACGGAGGGUGCGAGCGUUAAUCGGAAUUACUGGGCGUAAAGGGCACGCAGGCGGUUAAUUAAGUUGGAUGUGAAAUCCCCGGGCUUAACCUGGGAAUGGCAUUCAAGACUGGUUAGCUAGAGUCUUGUAGAGGGGGUAGAAUUCCAUGUGUAGCGGUGAAAUGCGUAGAGAUGUGGAGGAAUACCGGUGGCGAAGGCGGCCCCUGGACAAAGGACUGACGCUCAUGUGCGAAAGCGUGGGGAGCAAAC